rnacentral:rRNA from 1 species
GAUGAACGCUAGCGGGAGGCUUAAUACAUGCAAGUCGAGGGGUAACGAUGGACUUCGGUUCAGGCGACGACCGGCGCACGGGUGAGUAACGCGUACACAACCUACCUUUAAGAGGGGGAUAGCCUCGGGAAACUGAGAUUAAUACCCCAUAGUAUUGUCUUUUAGAUUAUUGGACAAUUAAAGUUCCGACGCUUAAAGAUGGGUGUGCGUAUGAUUAGAUAGUUGGUGAGGUAACGGCUCACCAAGUCGACGAUCAUUAGGGGGCGUGAGAGCGUGGCCCCCCACACGGGUACUGAGACACGGACCCGACUCCUACGGGAGGCAGCAGUAAGGAAUAUUGGACAAUGGGCGCAAGCCUGAUCCAGCUAUCCCGCGUGCAGGAUGACUGCCCUAUGGGUUGUAAACUGCUUUUGUCAGGGAAGAAACGCCUUCAUUUAUGAGGGCCUGACGGUACCUGAAGAAUAAGCACCGGCUAACUCCG